rnacentral:rRNA from 1 species
CCUAGUGGUCGCCCACUGAAGCUAAGCAGGGCUGCGCCCGGUCAGUACCUGGAUGGGAGACCACAUGGGAAAGCUAGGUUGCUGCCGGAA